CACCGUCAGGCCUUCUGGAAAGAGAAGGAGAUCCGACUGACGGAGCGUCUCCAAACUUCCAAGCAAAUAUUACCUCGUUAAAGCCCAGUGCCACAUGACUGACCUGGAGCCACAGCCUGCCCUCCUUCCCUGGGCCUACAGGAAGGGGGAGGUUCCUGUCACCAGAACCGUUCCGUCAUCAGCCGGGCAGAUGCUCGCUGUGGAUUCUAGCCAGCCUCCAGCAUCGCCUCCUCUGGGAUCUUCUCUGACUUCCCAGUCGGUUUCAGAAGCCUCUGAUGACCCCAUGCGGAGAAGACUGCUCCCCUCACUGCUGGCACACGGCAGAUGCUCAACACUUGCUCCAGCUUCGCCUUCCGCCGCGAGUUGAAGCUCCCCGAGGCCUCCUCAGAAGCAGAAGCCACCACGCUUCCUGUACAGCCUGUGGGACCCGGAGCCAGUUCAACCUCUUUUCUUUAUAAAUUACCCAGACUCGGCCGGGCACGGUGGCUCACGCCUGUAAUCCCAGCACUUUGUUGAGACCGAGGCAGGCAGAUCACGAGGUCAGGAGAUCGAGAACAUCCUGGCUAACACGGUGAAACCCCGUCUCUACUAAAAAUACAAAAAAUUAGCCGGGCGUGGUGGCGGGCGCCUGUGGUCCCAGCUACUCGGGAGGCUGAGGCAGGAGAAUGGUGUGAACCCGGG
rnacentral:lncRNA from 10 species